UUUUUAGUAUAUACAAAUGGCCGAAUCAACUGAAUUUCGCUGCGAUUACUGUAAUUUUGUAUGUUGCAGCGGACAAAGUAAGCUUUUUUUUGAUCACUUGGUUAAAAUACACUCAAACGAGCCGAAUUUCAAGAUAUUUUGUAACAGCUGUCCACGGUCGUUUACAAAGAUAAACAGUCUCCAAAAACAUUAUUACAGACAGCAUAAGGCUUUAACAGUGGAAGAAGACUUAAAUGAUGGGGAAAAUGAGAACCAUUUUCAGGAGAUGUUUGACGAGGGAGAAGCACGAAGUCUAAUGCAACGCCAUGCUGCCAAAUUCCUUUUAUGUUCCAAAACAAGAGGUAUGCUCACCCAGAGUGCCGUGGACUUGGUCAAAGAUUCAGCGAAAAAUCUACUAACUGAGUAUUUGGACAUAGUCAAAAAAUCGCUUGUCGAAAAGAUAAACAGUAAUCCUGGUCAAGAAUUGCAAUUUGACCAAGAUGUGGAAAAGUUAUUUUCAGCAGAGAGUGUCUUCGACGGAGUUGAUUCAGAAUACCAACAAAGAUCAUAUUUUAAGCGUCAUUUCAAUUUGGUGGUAAAUUACCAACCUACCAAACCUGAACCAGCUGCCAGCUUUGUCAGCUUGCUUUAUAUUUUUUUAACUGAUUUGCAGGAACCAAUAGAAGUUGAGAUGGGAAAACAGUGGAGAAGUGAUUUUCGACAAGGGAGAAAAAUACUUAAACGUGUCACAGUUUUUGGUUAUCAAGUUCCAUUAUUAAAGACUUUGGAGGCACUUCUUCAAAACCCAGAUGUUUUAAAGGAAGUUGAAAAUCCACAUUUUUCAUGUGAUGGUGUUCUUCGAGAUGUAAUGGAUGGGGAUUUUUUCAAGAGUCAUCCAGUAUUCUCCCUCCACAGUGAUGCCCUGCAGCUGUUGGGCUAUUAUGAUGAUCUAGAAAUAGCCAAUCCUUUAGGUUCAAAAGCAAAGAUUCAUAAAAUUGGUGUCUUUUACUUUGUGCUGGGCAAUAUAAGGCCAAUGUUUAGAUCAAGCAUCCGCAGUAUACAACUUAUAGCUAUUGCUAAAACAAAAGACAUCAAGUCAUUUGGGAUCGAUAAUCUUUUGAUGCCAUUCAUUGAGGAUGUCAAUUGUUUGGCGAAGGCUAAUGGUCACUGUUUUACCAUAAAUGGUGUUGCCCGUGUGUUUCGAGGUGAUCUGUUAUUGUGGACUGGAGAUACACUUGGUAGCAACUAUGUCAGUGGUUUAAAGGAAGGUGUUGGAGGAGCAUUGCGAAUUUGUAGGCAUUGUAUGGGAACAAGACUGGAGACCAACAAUAAGUUUUUAUCUGAAGACUUUUCAGAAAGAGAUUUGGAUAAUCACAGACAAAUAUGUGCAUGUAUUGAAGAUGAAGAUAAUGCAUUAAACAUCCGUGAACAACUUUCCACAACCUAUGGGGUAAACAGAUUAAGUGUGUUGGAUAAGGUGCAACAUUUUGAUGUUUGCAUUUGCAUUCCUGAAGAUAUAAUGCAUAUAUUUUUGGAUGGCUUGGUACCCUAUGAAACAAAGUUGAUGCUGAAGUAUCUGAUUGAUGAAAGCAGAUGUAUCACACUCAAAGAGUUAAAUCGGAGGAUUGAAAACUUUGAUUAUGGAUACAUGAACAAAAAGAAUAAGCCAACUGCAACUAACAGGGAAACAAUCAAUGGUGUCACUGAAGCUAAGCUUAAACAAUCAGGUACAUAUACUUUUAAAACCCUUUCUUUCACUGCAGUCAUUGGGAAAGUAUUAACUAAUUUAUAUGUCUUGCUUUAUGCAGCCUAAUUGUCUUGAACUACCAAAUGUAGACUUCAAAUUUGUACUUCUCCAGGAAUAACAAAGGCUGAUGCUGCCUAUUUGAAAGUUAUGAUUAAUGAUCAUCACAAAAUGUUCAAAAAUCUCUACCCUAAUGCAUCCAUAAUUCCAAAAAUGCAUUAUCUUAUACAUAUACCUGAUGAAAUUGUUAGGUUUGGGCCACCUAGAAAUAUCUGGACCAUGAGAUUUGAGGCUAAACACAGUUUCCUGAAAAGUUCAAUUACCAAGAACUUUAAAAAUGUCCCCAAAUCACUUGCAUUUUCCCAUCAAAGGUAUAUAUUUUUUAAAAUCAUUGUGCACAAUUAGAUUGACUUGUAUUCCACCCCUCUAAAGUAGCUGUGUUUUAUCACUCUAGGCUUAAUUUUGAAUAAAUGUGUAGAUUUGUGUAUUUCAAUUAUACAUUUUUUACAGAAUUGUGUAUUUAUCAUACUAAUCAUGGUGUAAUUGUUUUUUAUUUAGGAACAUGUGCUGGAACCUUCUGAG
rnacentral:misc_RNA from 1 species